rnacentral:rRNA from 1 species
GACGAACGCUGGCGGCGUGCUUAACACAUGCAAGUCGAACGGAAAGGCCCUGCUUUUGUGGGGUGCUCGAGUGGCGAACGGGUGAGUAACACGUGAGUAACCUGCCCUUGACUUUGGGAUAACUUCAGGAAACUGGGGCUAAUACCGGAUAGGAGCUCCUGCUGCAUGGUGGGGGUUGGAAAGUUUCGGCGGUUGGGGAUGGACUCGCGGCUUAUCAGCUUGUUGGUGGGGUAGUGGCUUACCAAGGCUUUGACGGGUAGCCGGCCUGAGAGGGUGACCGGCCACAUUGGGACUGAGAGACGGCGCAGACUCCUACGGGAGGCAGCAGUGGGGAAUAUUGCACAAUGGGCGGAAGCCUGAUGCAGCAACGCCGCGUGCGGGAUGACGGCCUUCGGGUUGUAAACCGCCUUCGCCUGUGACGAAGCGUGAGUGACGGUAAUGGGUAAAGAAGCACCGGCUAACUACGUG